AGAGUUUGAUCCUGGCUCAGGAUGAACGCUGGCGGCGUGCCUAACACAUGCAAGUCGAACGGAGUUAUUAUUAAGAAAUCUUCGGAUGGAUUGAUAAUAACUUAGUGGCGGACGGGUGAGUAACGCGUGGGUAACCUGCCCUAUACAGGGGGAUAACAGCCGGAAACGGUUGCUAAAACCGCAUAAGCGCACAUUGUCGCAUGACAAAGUGUGAAAAUAUUUAUAGGUAUAGGAUGGGCCCGCGUCUGAUUAGCUAGUUGGUGAGGUAACGGCUCACCAAGGCGACGAUCAGUAGCCGGCUUGAGAGAGUGACCGGCCACAUUGGGACUGAGACACGGCCCAAACUCCUACGGGAGGCAGCAGUGGGGAAUAUUGCACAAUGGGGGAAACCCUGAUGCAGCGACGCCGCGUGAGUGAAGAAGUAUUUCGGUAUGUAAAGCUCUAUCAGCAGGGAAGAAAAUGACGGUACCUGACUAAGAAGCCCCGGCUAACUACGUG
rnacentral:rRNA from 1 species